rnacentral:rRNA from 1 species
UACAGAGGGUGCGAGCGUUAAUCGGAAUUACUGGGCGUAAAGCGUGCGUAGACGGUUAUUUAAGUCGGGUGUGAAAGCCCCGGGCUCAACCUGGGAAUUGCAUUCGAGACUGAAUAGCUAGGGUACGGUAGAGGGAAGCGGAAUUUCCGGUGUAGCAGUGAAAUGCGUAGAUAUCGUAAGGAAGACCAGUGGCGAAGGCGGGUCUCUGGACAGUUCCUGACACUGAGGCACGAAGGCCAGGGGAGCAAACGGG